rnacentral:rRNA from 1 species
GGACGAACGCUGGCGGCGUGCUUAACACAUGCAAGUCGAACGGAAAGGCCCUGCUUUUGUGGGGUGCUCGAGUGGCGAACGGGUGAGUAACACGUGAGUAACCUGCCCUUGACUUUGGGAUAACUUCAGGAAACUGGGGCUAAUACCGGAUAGGAGCUCCUGCUGCAUGGUGGGGGUUGGAAAGUUUCGGCGGUUGGGGAUGGACUCGCGGCUUAUCAGCUUGUUGGUGGGGUAGUGGCUUACCAAGGCUUUGACGGGUAGCCGGCCUGAGAGGGUGACCGGCGACAUUGGGACUGAGAUACGGCCCAGACUCCUACGGGAGGCAGCAGUGGGGAAUAUUGCACAAUGGGCGGAAGCCUGAUGCAGCAACGCCGCGUGCGGGAUGACGGCCUUCGGGUUGUAAACCGCUUUCGCCUGUGACGAAGCGUGAGUGACGGUAAUGGGUAAAGAAGCACCGGCUAACUACGUG